AACGAACGCUGGCGGCAUGCCUAACACAUGCAAGUCGAACGAGACCUUCGGGUCUAGUGGCGCACGGGUGCGUAACGCGUGGGAACCUGCCCUUAGGUUCGGAAUAACUCCCCGAAAGGGGUGCUAAUACCGGAUAAUGUCUUCGGACCAAAGAUUUAUCGCCUUUGGAUGGGCCCGCGUUGGAUUAGCUAGUUGGUAGGGUAAAAGCCUACCAAGGCGACGAUCCAUAGCUGGUCUGAGAGGAUGAUCAGCCACACUGGGACUGAGACACGGCCCAGACUCCUACGGGAGGCAGCAGUGGGGAAUAUUGGACAAUGGGCGAAAGCCUGAUACAGCAAUGCCGCGUGAGUGAUGAAGGCCUUAGGGUUGUAAAGCUCUUUUACCCGGGGUGAUAAUGACAGUACCGGGAGAAUAAGCUCCGGCUAACUCCGUG
rnacentral:rRNA from 1 species